ACGAACGCUGGCGGCAUGCCUAACACAUGCAAGUCGAACGAGACCUUCGGGUCUAGUGGCGCACGGGUGCGUCACGCGUGGGAACCUGCCCUUAGGUUCGGAAUAACUCCCCGAAAGGGGUGCUAAUACCGGAUAAUGUCUUCGGACCAAAGAUUUAUCGCCUUUGGAUGGGCCCGCGUUGGAUUAGCUAGUUGGUAGGGUAAAAGCCUACCAAGGCGACGAUCCAUAGCUGGUCUGAGAGGAUGAUCAGCCACACUGGGACUGAGACACGGCCCAGACUCCUACGGGAGGCAGCAGUGGGGAAUAUUGGACAAUGGGCGAAAGCCUGAUUCAGCAAUGCCGCGUGAGUGAUGAAGGCCUUAGGGUUGUAAAGCUCUUUUACCCGGGAUGAUAAUGACAGUACCGGGAGAAUAAGCUCCGGCUAACUCCGUG
rnacentral:rRNA from 1 species